UAGAGACAACUGAGCACAAAACAACUCAGUA
rnacentral:piRNA from 1 species